AACGAACGCUGGCGGCGCGCCUAAUACAUGCAAGUCGAACGAGAAGGUGUAGCAAUACACUUGUACAGUGGCGAACGGGUGAGGAAUGCAUGGGCAACCUACCCUCGAGUGGGGAAUAACCAGCCGAAAGGUUGGCUAAUACCGCGUACGCUUCCGGGUCUCCGGAUCCGGAAGGAAAGUCACACCGUGGGUGUGACGCUCAAGGAUGGGCUCAUGUCCUAUCAGCUUGUUGGGAGGUAACGGCUCACCAAGGCAACGACGGGUAGCUGGUCUGAGAGGACGAUCA
rnacentral:rRNA from 1 species